UCUCAUGGGGUACCCCAAUUGACUAGACAGAAAGUUCAACUUUCUAUUUUGAUUUUAGGAUCUCAGGGAUCGUCCCAGGUGGGUCGUUCCACUACAUGGGUCGUCCCAUAUGGGUCAUCCCACUGCAUGCCAUGGGACAAAAUGAAGCAUGCCGGCUAUCCAAUGAAAGAAGAUGACCCAGAUGGGUCGCUCCAUUUUAUACCAAUCCAAUUUUUCAUGUAUUUAAGGUCUGAAAUUUAUCAAAAUACUUUCAAAUGCUCUCAAAUGGCUUCAAAUCAAUUGGACACUCUCAAAAGACUUUGAAAACUUUUUCAACUUGCAGAAAUUUCAAUUGCACAUUCGAUGAGAC
rnacentral:lncRNA from 1 species